GCAUAGAGCUUUUUGCAACGUAGUUAGAGUGAUACAAUGCCAGGGUGGACAGUGCACUUCCGUGUUUUGCCAUAAUUGGGCUCCAGGAGGUGUCCCACAAUGGCCAUCAUGACCCUUCUGGUCAGCAGUUUGAACUCUGCUGCCCUGCACUCAGCCACCUAUUUAAAGACACACGAAUUGUAGAACUUCCUCUUCCUGUUUGCUGUGAAUGGACUGUUCACACAGCAUCUUUCCAGCUGACCAUGCUUGCUUUCUGCAACAGAUGUGCUCCCACAUGGAGUACACCAAAGCUGUUGGAUUUGCUGGGUCUGUGGGGAGAGGAGGCUGUGCAGUUGCAGCUUCACUCAAACUGUAGGAACUUUGAUAUCUACUGGCAGAGUGGUCAUGGCAUGCAGGAGACAUGAAAGGGACAUGCAGCAGUGCUGUGCUAAGAUCAAGGAGCUGAGGUGGCAUACCAGAAGGCAAGUUAGGGCAACAGAUACUCUGGUGCAGUGCCGAUGACAUGUAACUUCUACAAGGAGCUGCACGCCAUCCUGGGUGGUGACCCCAUCACCAAGAGCCCCAUGGAUACUUCGGGGGGACUGGAGGCAGCAGCCAGUGGAGUCAACCCUGAGGAUGAAGUGGUGGAUGAUUUAUGCAGAUGUGCCCUUGAGGACCAAGCCCUACACACUGGUGGAGCACCUCUGUCAGAAAAGGAGGCAAACCAGGAGGAGUAAGGAGGAGGGUAUGUUUAGAAAAGUGCUCCUGUCAAUAGAUGCAGCACAUAGCGAAACAAGAGCAUGGAGAGAGACAAUUAAUGAAAAACUCAGGUUGGAUAGCCUGGAAAGGAGACAUGGACUGGAUCAGAUGAUACAUGGACAGUAGUGGAUGAUUACGCGACUGGAGGGACAGAGGUGGUCAAGUCCCUUGUAGUGCAGUCUGAGCACAUCUGUGCAUGACUCCCCAUGCAGUGAAUACAGAAUGCUGUUCCAUGCUCUCCCCAAACUCCCCCCCAUACAUUCCUCACAUGUUCCCAUUCCGUCACAGCACCCCUUGCAAUCCACCCCUAGGGCCUGGUUUUAUGAUGAAAGCUGGAGUUACACACAGCUGUGAGAACCUGAACCAAGAGACUGCUCCUCAUUGCCAUGUCCCCUGUUUGCAAAAAAUAUAUGUUUUAAUCUUUUAAGUAAAGCCUAGUAUUUGAAACAAAA